AAUGAAGCGUUGAAGAGAAGAGUAGCUGAAUGGUGAAGGAACAAAGAGACUCCGGUGGGUGAAAAAGGAGAUCCUUUCGUCAGUGAAGAUGAACUCUGAGCAUUUUGAUUUGUUCACGCAAAUCAAACGGACUGUGACCGUUAUCUUGCCGAGUAUCUUAGGUACUGUUGAGACAUUGUUUACGAGAAUAAUGUGAAUUAGGGUGGUAACACGAAGCAUUCGUCCCUUUU
rnacentral:ncRNA from 1 species